rnacentral:rRNA from 1 species
UGGGGAAUAUUGCACAAUGGGCGCAAGCCUGAUGCAGCGACGCCGCGUGAGGGAUGACGGCCUUCGGGUUGUAAACCUCUUUCAGCACAGACGAAGCGCAAGUGACGGUAUGUGCAGAAGAAGGACCGGCCAACUACGUGCCAGCAGCCGCGGUAAUACGUAGGGUCCGAGCGUUGUCCGGAAUUACUGGGCGUAAAGAGCUCGUAGGUGGUUUGUCGCGUUGUCCGUGAAAACUCACAGCUCAACUGUGGGCGUGCGGGCGAUACGGGCAGACUGGAGUACUGCAGGGGAGACUGGAAUUCCUGGUGUAGCGGUGGAAUGCGCAGAUAUCAGGAGGAACACCGGUGGCGAAGGCGGGUCUCUGGGCAGUAACUGACGCUGAGGAGCGAAAGCGUGGGGAGCGAACAGG